AUUGAGCAACUGAUAACUCAGUUCAACAGAGGAUAUUUUCAACGUGCGGGCGAACACCGUAACUGACAGUUAUAAAGUAAUCGGUAACAUACGAAGGAAAUCAAGAUGUUCAGUUUUCACAAACCAAAAAUUUACAGAAGCAUUAAUGGAUGCUGUAUAUGUCGAGCCAAAUCCUCCAGCUCCCGAUUCACAGACAGCAAGAGAUACGAGUGUGAAUUUGAAAAGUGCUUCCGUAUUCGCGAAAAGAGAGCUGGAGAAAUAUGCAAUGCUUGUGUCCUGUUAGUAAAGAGAUGGAAGAAGUUACCAGAAGGAACAAGUCGACAUUGGCACCAUGUUGUGGAUGCCAGGGCUGGACCAGGAAUCAAGUCAUCCAUGAAGAUCAAGAACAACAAGAGUCCCAGCAGCAGCAAGUACAAGUCCCCCCUCAAGUCCAAGAAGAUGUACGCCCACAGCAUUCCCAGCUCCAUCUACGACAUGUCAGUGAAUGAAGAUAGCUGUGACAAGGAUGAGUUUGAGGGCAGUGACAGCGAGGAGUCGGAAGUUGAGGAGAGUCAGGAGAAUUGUCAGCGCAAGAACAAGAGGAAGCAGUCCGACCCCCGCAUUAGUCCCUUCCUGGAUCUCAGCUACUGGAAAAAGACAGAGGUUUGCUGUGGCACAAUAUUCAAGGGUCUGAACGGGGAGGUACUGGUAGAUCCUCAGUUACUGCAUCCCUGCUACACCUGUCGUAAAACCGGGACCCGUCGCGGAGGGGAAAUCAGGCGCAGCCAAUCCACCGAUGACACCGAGAGUAAUUCCAGCACAAAUAGCUUUCGGAGAAACCGAAUAUCUAGACACGUCCUGCGUGGAUAACGAAAUAGACAGUAUUCCCUCUCUGGAAAACAGUGCUGCCCUCUCCCUGGCAGAGUUCAAGUGUUCCGAUGCAUUCUCGCAACCACCUCCACUUGCCAUGGAGUGUUAAACACCAAAAAAAUGUGUGAACUGUUUUAAUCUCUCCAUGGUGGACUCUCUUGCCAAGAAGUGCAGCAAAUAUUGAAAUAUCAAUGUGAAUGUUAGUAUUUAUGUGUGUGGUGAAUAUGUGAAUUAAUUUAAUUUUGUAUGAAAAUCUUGUGUGAAUGGUAUGAGUGUGUAAUGUUCUCUUCUGUGAGAUUUUAAAAGAGAAUAUGAUCUGGUUUCAACUGUGAACCCAUAUAUACUCAAGAACCAGGGGGAAAAUAAAAACUGUUCAGUGUAA
rnacentral:misc_RNA from 1 species